rnacentral:rRNA from 1 species
AUGCGAUGUGGAGAAGAAGAGUACACUGUCUACGUGAAGAAGAGACCACAUGUGGAUGCCUUCCUUGAAGAGGAAGCUCAUAUGUUUGAGCUUGUUGUCUUUACGGCUAGCAUAAGUUCUUAUGCAAACCAACUAAUUAAUGCACUAGAUCCUGAGAAUAGACUGAUAUCAUGGUGUUUUUUCCAUGAGUCAUGCGUCUGGUAG